GCACUGGGCAACACAGAGAGACGCGGGUUCCUUUUUUUCCGGGGGGAGUUACCCGGAAGGCCCAGAUCACUGCUCGGGUCGGGCUGGGUAUCGGUCGGCGGGUGUAACUACAUUGAUUAGGUGCGGAAGACUUCAGUGGACCAGGCUUCUGCUUCCUCCUUUUUUUUCAAGAGGGCACUUUGGAAUUCAAGUCUGACUUCCAGUAGUUGUUUUAGAUCCAUUUGGCACAUCUCUGGAUAUAGGUGUUGCUGCUGCCCUAGUGAUGCUGCUUUCCAGCUCCCUGCUUCAGUUAAAAGGUUUAUCUGAUGCUCAGCAUCACUGCAGAAAGACCAAAUGUUUCAAUGCAGAUGAAAUCUAUUUCACAUGAUUUUGUGCCACAUAGUGAGGAGCUGGACAAAUUCCUUUAUUUAGUCUCAUGUAGUCAAACUACAGUAAAAGAAGGAUACCACCUAUCCUGAACAAGUCAAUAUCCUUCUGAAAAACCUACUUUAAAUAAAAAUUUUUAACCAAC